rnacentral:rRNA from 1 species
GAGUUUGAUCAUGGCUCAGAUUGAACGCUGGCGGCAGGCCUAACACAUGCAAGUCGAGCGGUAACAGAAAGUAGCUUGCUACUUUGCUGACGAGCGGCGGACGGGUGAGUAAUGCUUGGGAACAUGCCUUUAGGUGGGGGACAACAGUUGGAAACGACUGCUAAUACCGCAUAACGUCUACGGACCAAAGGGGGCUUCGGCUCUCGCCUAAAGAUUGGCCCAAGUGGGAUUAGCUAGUUGGUGAGGUAAUGGCUCACCAAGGCAACGAUCCCUAGCUGGUUUGAGAGGAUGAUCAGCCACACUGGAACUGAGACACGGUCCAGACUCCUACGGGAGGCAGCAGUGGGGAAUAUUGCACAAUGGGCGAAAGCCUGAUGCAGCCAUGCCGCGUGUGUGAAGAAGGCCUUCGGGUUGUAAAGCACUUUCAGUCAGGAGGAAAGGUUAGUAGUUAAUACCUGCUAGCUGUGACGUUACUGACAGAAGAAGCACCGGCUAACUCCGUGCCAGCAGCCGCGGUAAUAC